GACACAUUGUGUAAGGAAGGCCAAGACCAAUCUGGAAUCAAUAAAGGCUCAUAGGAACUCCAAUCGUCCCAACUGUGAGAGGGCCUUGCUCCAGUGACUGUUGGAAGAUUUGUGGACUACAUUAACUAAUGACACUACCUCCAAAGAGUUGCAAAAAGCUGUCCAAAGUUCCAGCACCCUCUUUAAGUC